rnacentral:rRNA from 1 species
UACGUAGGCAGCGAGCGUUGUUCGGAAUUACUGGGCGUAAAGAGUGUGUAGGCGGUGCUCCCAGUCUGUUGUGAAAUCUCCCGGCUUAACUGGGAGGGUGCAGCGGAAACUAGAGUGCUAGAGGGUGGGAGAGGUAAGCGGAAUUCCUGGUGUAGCGGUGAAAUGCGUAGAUAUCAGGAGGAACACCUGUGGUGUAGACAACUCGCUGGGGAAGUGCUGACGCUGAGACACGAAAGCCAGGGGAGCGAACGGG